GAUGAAAUAGCUCUGUUGGGAGAGCGUUAGACUUAAGAUUAAAAGGUCCCUGGUCCGAUCCUGGAUUUCAGCA
rfam:Danio rerio chromosome 4, GRCz11 reference primary assembly.